GCUUCGUUAGCUCAGUUGGUCAGAGUGUUCGGCUCGAAACGCCGGGAGGUCGCAGGUUCGAAUCCUUGCACGAAGCG